rnacentral:lncRNA from 1 species
UUUUUUUUCUGUUAAUAGAUUUUUUUGGUGAUAUUAUUAUUGAAUAUGCAUGUUUGGUGAUACUAUUGUUAAUAGUUUUUUUUGGGUGAUAUUUAGAUUGUGUAAUUAAUUUUGUUCAUAGAAUUUUAAUGAUUUUUUUGUUCAUAGUAUUUAGAAAAAGGAAAAAAAGAAGAAGUAGUUUAUUUAUAGUUGAACUAGCUAGUUGAUUUAAUAAACUAAUUUAUUUUACUAUAUAUAGAAGUAGUUUGUUUUUAGUAAGUACUACUUAUUUAUUUAUAGUAAGUGCUUAGUAGUUGAACUAGAUAGUUGAACUAGAUAGUUGACUAAUAAAACUAAAUUAUGAACGUAGGCCGGAAAUGUCGUACUCAUCGGACGACGAUAACCGUCCGGGGGAGUGCGACUGGUGCCACGACAACCGAGGUAUCUGCGACAGGUUCAUUGAGCUGGAUGAAGAUCGGCGCUUCAGCAUUAACCUCGAGGAGACUUGCGACGUUCAUACGGUACGCAACGACGACAAUAGGUUUUUUCGUAAUUAAGCACGACUUCAACUAUUUUAACGUGUAUUUUUCAUCUUUCCUAUUCGACUAGCUUAUCCCAUGCUUUGCAAGACGCUAUGUCUUGGAGAGGAUGGGUAUUGAAGACCAUGAAAAUUUUGAAACCAAAAAAAUUAUCCUAAGUACCGAACAUGACGUGGAUUUUCAAGUAAAGCUGUACAAUGCUCAGAGUGUAACCCAUUUUGGUUGCAAAAAUUGGGAUGCAUUUUGCAAGAUGUAUGGUCUUGAUGAGGGUAUGACUAUCACCAUGGAUCUUGGUGAUCCUACAAUCGAGCAAGAGACACCUACGAUUUGGGUCUUUGUGGAUACACCUCCAGUUCUUCCCUCAUGUGAGCUAAACAUAGUUAUUAAGUAAUUUAUAUUGUUUAUUUCAAAAUAUAAUGUUGACAACUUAUCUCCAUUGACAGCUUAUUUUCAUGCUUCAAAGAAUGUGCGGAAGAUGGUAGAUAGAACGUACUACACCGAAGGCUGCGAAUUAACUUAUCAGGAGAAACAAUAUCUGGUCGGAUUUUGUAGAGAUCUUGAGAAUUACAAUAUCUACAAUAAAACUCCUCAACAUUAUGGUCAAUACGUGCCACUAGUGCACGUGUUGAACUACGGUAACUACCAUGGAGAUACCUUGGUAAGAUUAUUUUUUACUAUUACAACAUCCGUGCAUCUUUUUUUGCACACUUCUAAAACUAGUACAUCAUUGCUAACUACGAAGUUAUUACUAUGUUUUUCAACAGAUAAUCCCGAAUGAUUGUGUGCCUCAUCUGAUGUAUACGCGUGGUAGCCUUCAUGUUUUGAACAUACUACCAGGUCGUCCUACGAAUCUCAACUGUCCAUACCGGGUUUUUAAAAUAAGUGGAGACAUAACAAUCAAAGAAUGGAGAAAAUGUAUGGACAGUCGUAAGGAGCUUCUUGGAAGCAAUAAGCAGCGAAAGGCAAGAAUUGGAGACAGGAUGAUCGCCAUUCUUCAUAACGGAGAGUCAGUGUCUAUAUUGUUUUAUGCUAUUUUACCUUAAAGGUGUUUAGGUCCUACCUGAUACUGAUGAUCAUGUGCUAAGAACAAUUAUGUAGGGUUGGGUUAUGAGGAUGAUGAUCGUAUGACUUAUUAUUAAUAACGAGUAGAAGUUGUAUGAUGAUGCAUGAUUAGUACGACUUGUUAUUAUAUAUAUAUAUAUGAUGAUGUAAUGAUGCAAAAGCAUGCAUGAGCAUGUUAUAUCUGCGGGUGCAAUGAACAUAGCAGCAGCGUUGAUAAACAAUUAAAGCAUGCAUGAUGUAUAUAUGAUGCAUAACGUGUACAAUGUGUAGUAUCGUAAAAUACCAGCAAACGAAAAAGAAUUAAAAUGGAAACACAAAAUUAAAUGAAAAAGAAAUCAUAAAACUAAAAACCCACCAAACCUUAUAGUACCGGUUGGUGUUACCAACCGGUACUAAAGGCCUCCAGGCCGCCGGCGCUGGCUAGUGCCACGUGGUCGCCCUUUAGCACCGGUUCGUGCUGAACCGGUGCUAAAGGGGGGGGGGGCCUUUAGUGACCACUAAUUAGUGCCGGUUAUGUAACCGGCACUAUAGGGCCUUACGAACCGGUGCUAAUGCCCGGUUCUGCACUAGUGAU